GAUGAACGCUGGCGGCGUGCUUAACACAUGCAAGUCGAACGGGGAACAAAUUAUUGAAGCUUCGGCAGAUCUAGCUUGUUCCUAGUGGCGGACGGGUGAGUAACGCGUGGGUAACCUGCCUCACACUGGGGGAUAACAGUCAGAAAUGGCUGCUAAUACCGCAUAAGCGCAUAGUACCGCAUGGUACAGUGUGAAAAACUCCGGUGGUGUGAGAUGGACCCGCGUUGGAUUAGCUAGUUGGCAGGGCAGCGGCCUACCAAGGCGACGAUCCAUAGCCGGCCUGAGAGGGUGAACGGCCACAUUGGGACUGAGACACGGCCCAGACUCCUACGGGAGGCAGCAGUGGGGAAUAUUGCACAAUGGGGGAAACCCUGAUGCAGCGACGCCGCGUGAAGGAAGAAGUAUCUCGGUAUGUAAACUUCUAUCAGCAGGGAAGAAAAUGACGGUACCKACUWAGAAGCCCGGA
rnacentral:rRNA from 1 species